rnacentral:rRNA from 1 species
UACAGAGGGUGCGAGCGUUGUUCGGAAUUACUGGGCGUAAAGGGCGCGUAGGCGGUCCCUCAAGUCAGGCGUGAAAGCCCCGGGCUCAACCUGGGAACCGCGCUUGAGACUGAUGGGCUAGAGUUCGGGAGAGGAUGGUGGAAUUCCCAGUGUAGAGGUGAAAUUCGUAGAUAUUGGGAAGAACACCGAUGGCGAAGGCAGCCAUCUGGACCGACACUGACGCUGAGGCGCGAAAGCGUGGGGAGCAAACAGG